rnacentral:rRNA from 1 species
GACGAACGUUGGCGGCGUGCUUAAUACAUGCAAGUCAACUGAAGCAGUGGUAGCAAUCUCGCUGUGGAGGUGGCGCACGGGUGAGUAACACGUAGGUAAUCUGCCUUCAGGUCUGGCAUAACUCCGGGAAACCGGGGCUAAUAGCAGAUGAUGCAGCGGCUCGACAUCGAGACAGUUGUUAAAGCUAUGGCGCCUGAAGAUGAGCCUGCGUCUGAUUAGCUAGUUGGCGGGGUAACGGCCCACCAAGGCAACGAUCAGUAGCUGGUCUGAGAGGAUGAUCAGCCACACUGGAACUGAGACACGGUCCAGACUCCUACGGGAGGCAGCAGUAAGGAAUAUUGCUCAAUGGGAGAAAUCCUGAAGCAGCAACGCCGCGUGAGGGACGAAGGGCUUUUGCUUGUAAACCUCUGUAGUGAGAGAAAAAAAUCCCAAUCUUUGGGGCAUGAUGGUAUCUCAAAAGUAAGCCCCGGCUAACUACGUG